UUGCUAAUUAGUGAAAGCUCUGUGCAUUAAAUAAGAAAACUUCCUAGAAAAACCAAUAAAUUUCUCCAAUAAUUAAUAUAAAACAUUUGAAAUAUUGAAAAUGUUCACAUGCACUUAGUACAACUUAUAAAUUUACUAAUUAUCUCUUAUUUGUCGGUGUUUCUCAACCAUUGGUGAAAACCCAAUAAUUUCAUUCGGAAUUUGUAUAGAUAAACACUGACAUGCUCCUCAUAUUUGAAUGCUUAAUCCUGGGGCAUUCUCAUCUUCAACCAUCGACAUAAAGGCAAUCGUGGUAGAUUCACCAAUGCAAGUAUCUGCAUAUAGUAUUCAAGGAAAUGAUGAUUAAGACACAUUUCACUGCAUAUAUGCUGAAUAUUGAUAGGAUUGCUGAUACAGUGAAACUUGUAAACAGAACUGCUAGAAUGUAAAUUUGUUUGAUGAUGCUGUGAGAUACGUCAAUAAAUGGUCAUAUAUGCUAUGACUUGUGUAACUCCAUCUGACAGACAUUAUUAUAGAUGCCAAAAACAUAGACCAGGACAGUGAUGUCUAUUAUUUUCAUCCAAAUUCCUACAAACAAAUGACAAUCCAAUGACAGGUUGUCUAAAUGGUCACAGCAAAAGAAAUACCUCACACCGUUAGUCUCCUUAGUCCUUGUAUUUCAUUGUUUCCUUCUCAAAACCAAUUGUUGGGAAUUGCUUUGCAUAUUCCUCAACAUCAUGACGUAGCUGUGCAAUCUCAGAAUGAAUGCUAGUAUUAGACUUCAUAGUUGCUACAAAGUCCUUCAACCUUGUUCCUUUGGUAUCUGCCUUGAUCUUCAAUGCCAACUUCACAGCUGCAUCAAAGAACUCCGCUACUUUCACAAAAUCUUCCUCAACAAAACCCCUAGAUGUGAGAGCUGGUGUUCCCAUGCGAAUCCCACCAGGCACCAUGGCAGAUACAUCACCAGGAACAGUGUUUUUAUUAGCUGCAAUGUGAACGGAUUCCAAAACCUUUUCGACCCUUGAUCCAUCAAUACCCUGUUGAACAAAAUUUCCAAAACUAACUAUUGACCCCCAUUACAUGCUAAAUAUCACAGCCAUAGGUUAGUGUUGGAAAUCUCCCAAAUGAAAUCCAGCAUAAAUAAAAAAAUUCAUAUGAGCAACAGUUUUGAAAAAUAAUACAAAAUUCAAAUGAGAAACAGAGUUGAAAAGUUUCUUGAUUUACUCAAGUCCCAGCUGAAAGCCUUGCUUAGGAGUGUUUAUGUAUCAAGUAAUAAGCUCCAGUGGUAACAUUAUUUUAUAAUAUUCCCAAUCACUUAUCACCUCAGUAAAGAUUUUCCAAACAAAUAUAGAAACUUAUUCUAGGGGAUGUUAUCUAACAUGAGAAUAUGUAAGCACAGUUUUAAUACAAGUUCACUCUAGAAGGCUUAUAAGCUAAAUCAGUUAAACCAGAGAAAACUUAUUUCCUUGUACCUUGUUUCUUAAAUUGACCAAAACCAAAUGGUUUUCUGUUCCACCAGAUACCAGUUCAUAGCCCUUCUCCAGUAAGCUCUGCACAAAGAAUAGACUUAGAGCAUGACUACUACUGUUAAAUCACUCAGUUAGAUAAAGAGAUGCAUCAUCCACUUGCUUGAAAAAUAGUUUGUAUGCCUCUAGCACACUUGCAUCAGCACAAUAUAAAGACAUUAUUCAGGAUACCUGAGCAAAUUUUGAGCAGUUACUGAGAACUUGCUCUUGAUAGGCUUUGUACUCAGGAGUCAUGACCUGCUUUAGAGCAACUGCUAAACCAGAUAUUGUGUGAUUAUGCGGACCACCUUGAAGCCCAGGAAAUACUGCCUGAUUAAUUUUGUCCUCGUAAUCAUACUUCACCUGUUUGGAUUAGGAUGAAACAAUCAUUAAAUAACUUAGCCUCGGAGUUUACCUCAGUGUAAGACUUAUAUGUUCAGUAACCAGGAAUGACAGGAAAUGGUAGCAGACAAGUGAUUAACACAUCUACUUUAACCAAAGCAGAGUACUCUGAUUUUCCUCUUUCAUGCAUCCAUUUUUUAAUUUAAUUUGAGAUUUAAACUCACUUCUUGCCCUUGUUUGUUAAUCUCUUUUACCCCCUUCCUGAAGAAGAUCAUGGCUCCACGUGGACCACGAAGUGACUUGUGUGUUGUGGUUGUCACAAUAUCUGCAUAUUCAAAAGGAGAUGGGACAACACCUGCAGCAACCAACCCACUAAUGUGUGCCAUAUCAGCUAACAAAAUUGCCUUUUGCUUGUCACAAACCUUACGGAUGCGUGCAUAGUCAUAAAGGCGUGCAUAAGCACUUGCACCGGCAACUAUAAGUUUUGGUCUAUAGAGUGUGGCACUUUUCUCCAGCUGUUCAUAGUCAAUAUAACCUGUACUCUCAUUUAAUCUAUAAGGCAUUGUCUCAAAGAAUAUGGACACAGCAGAUAUCUUCUUUGUGUCAGUCUGAUAACCAUGUGAAAGAUGUCCACCAUGAGGAAGAUCUAGCGCCAUAAUUCUCUCAUGAGGCUUUAAUAAAGCAGUGUACACUUGAAAAUUUGAAGGAGAUCCAGACAAUGACUGAACAUUGACUCCCCAUUUGGCAGGAUCCAAAUUAAAAACUUCCAGUGCACGUUUUUGACACAAUCUCUCUGCCAUGUCAAUAUACUCAUUUCCUCCAUAGUAUCUAGCACCAGGAUACCCUUCACUGUAUUUGUUAGUCAUAACAGAACCAACAGCUUGCAUCACUGAAACUGAGGUGAAAUUUUCCGAUGGAAUAAGCUCGAGUCCCUUCCAUUGCCUUGCUUUCUCAAGUUCGAUGAUGUCGGAAAUUUCGGGAUCGACUUCCUGGAGUGGAGCAUUCAAUUGCUUUAUCCAAGUAGCACGAGCAUUCUCUUUGUCAGGAACUGCUGGAUUAGGCAAAGAAGACAUGUGGUAGAGGGAACCGCCACUGAAAUAAGAUCUGAUUGGCUUCUUGAGAGAGGAAGAAAGUCUGCAAAGAGCCUUUGCCAUUUCUGCGUCUCUUCUUUGCUUAUGCUUUUGUUUUUCCUUUGUGUGCUCGCAAAUUUUCUAAUUUUGUUCUUGGUUGGUGUGACAGUGAGUGGGUUUGGUGGCAGUGCCAGUGACGCAUGACGCAACCGGCUGUCACAC
rnacentral:misc_RNA from 1 species